rnacentral:lncRNA from 1 species
UGGGUCAUUUAUAGCUCGCCAGGGCCAGUGAGCUUAAUCACUUGUCCAACUUUGUUUACUUUUACAAAAAUCUUCUCUUAAACUACUGGGCCACAUUUAACCAAACUUGGCAACAAUCAUCAUUGGGUAUGUUUAUAAAUUGUGUUUGAUGACCCUGGCUGCAAAACAAGUUGGUAGACAACUAUAUUGUGAGAGAAAUUUGUUCUUUAGAGAAUGACUGGAGUGGCCCACUCUCAGGCAGUCAAUGGGCCUUUUUGAAAAUGUUUGGAUCAGCCACGUUUUUGCAUUGUAGGAGUUUUUCAUUAGAUGAAUGCUUCUUUAUGUUGCGUCUAUACCUGAACUCUUGAAAAAUGUUCAGCCAAUCCCUUGUAGAUUUUAAUAAAUGGAGAAAAAAAAACAAAGGAUAUGGGGCAUCCAUCCUUAAUACAAAGACAGUA